UUUCAGUUUAUUCACUGGCUAAACUCUACUUGAUUGGGGACAAGCACACAAACCAUCCAUUACGAUCUGAUAUAUUAUCCAAACAAUUUAGUGUAUUCAUGAGGUAACCUAAAUGUGGAGGCUGCAAAAUUACCCGUAAUCAAUUGAAACAGCGAGUGCGCGUCCCUCUGUGUGUCUAACAACUACAUGUCUCUGUAAUAAGGCAGACAUUAAAUCAUUUUAGAGUUGUACUGUUGAGUACCUGAUCACUGGGCGCUCUGGGAAGCUGGACAGUCACAUUAGGACGCUGGGACUGAGGAAGCCGCUGCUUUUCCAGUGGGAUAAAACCCGAUCUUCCUUACUCAAGGUGCUUUACAGAUCCCCACCGAUCUCACCCUAAGUCGUGCAAUAUCCAGCAUAGACUUCGUCUUCUUCUUCUUCUUCUACUCUUCUAUAAUUUUUUUGUUAUCGUUGUUGGCGCUUUUUUAUUUUUUUUGGUUUUAUUUUUUUGUUUUGUUUUUAUUGCACUACAUGUUUGGGAAACAAGACAAAAUGGACGUUAGAUGCAGUUCAGAGACUGAAGCUAACCGGGUCUCGAAGAACGGACAUAAAGAGGGCAAGGAAAGCAAAGGGUCUGAAGGAAAUAUUUCUACUUCUUUUUUGAAGGAUCAGCAAGGGACUUUUUCUGCCUCUGCAGCCACGGAAGGUUGUAAUAAAAGUAAAUCUAGUUCGGCUGAUCCGGACUAUUGCAGGAGGAUCCUAGUUAGAGAUGCCAAAGGUUCAAUCCGAGAGAUUAUUCUGCCUAAAGGGCUUGAUCUGGACCGUCCCAAGCGGACCCGCACCUCCUUCACGGCCGAGCAGCUCUACCGCCUGGAGAUGGAGUUUCAGCGCUGCCAGUACGUCGUGGGCCGGGAGCGCACGGAGCUCGCCCGCCAGCUCAAUCUCUCCGAGACUCAGGUCAAGGUCUGGUUCCAGAACCGGCGCACCAAGCAGAAGAAGGACCAGGGCAAGGACUCCGAGCUGCGCUCGGUGGUGUCCGAGACCGCCGCCACCUGCAGCGUCCUGCGGUUGCUGGAGCAAGGCCGGCUGCUGUCUCCGCCGGGGCUGCCGGGCCUGCUGCCGCCCUGUGCCACGGGCGCGCUGGGCUCGGCGCUGCGCGGGCCCGGCCUGGCUGCGGCGGGCGGCGGCAGCGCGGCGGCGGCUCCGGGCGGCGGCGGCGGCUCCCCGCACCCUCCGGCCGCCAGCGGAGCCGCCGGGCCGCCCCCGCCCGCGGCGCUGCACGGAGCGGCGGCCGCGGGGCACGGGCUGUUCGGGCUGCCGGUGCCCGCGCUGCUGGGCUCCGUGGCCGGCCGCCUCUCCUCCGCGCCCCUGGCCGUGGCCGGCUCGCUGGCGGGCAACUUGCAGGAACUGUCGGCCCGCUACCUGAGCUCGUCCGCCUUCGAGCCCUACUCCCGGACCAACAAUAAAGAGAGCGCUGAGAAAAAAGCACUGGACUGACUCUAACUGAAGCAGAAAACCAAGGAACCAGAUGUAGCAGAGGGCAAAUAAAAGAGUUCAAUCCACACAAGCUUCCCAGAGUGCUGUGACAAUGGUACCAUUCCACCCAGGCUACAAUUCACACUGGUGCCACUCCACUCAGGCCACAGCUCAGUGGACAAAAAGUAGAAGGAAACUCAUCCUGGCAAGCAACGAGUUGGCAAGUCAUGAGCUGUGGAUUCAGGUUGGAUAUUGGGAAGAAUGUCAGCCAGGACACAAAAGACAGAAAAAGGUUACUGAGGUCAUACUUGGUUACAAAAAUGCAGUUAGAGAGAGAAACAAGUGAAGGAUAACCUGGUAUGUGUACAGAAGCAUGGAAGGAUGUCCUCUUGGCUUAAUUCAAAACCCAUGAAAGUUAAGAAGAAAAAUUAAGAAAAUUAAGAAGACGAAUUCUCAUUUUUGCCAGAAUUUGUCCGAUUCUGAGAGCACUGUUAGUCAUUGCCCAGUCAGUUUCUAUCUGCUCUUCCUCUGAAAUGGGGAUGCUGAUGCUCAUCUAAACCUGUUCAGAAGGAGGUAUGAGUGUCAAGUACUAGUGUACUGAAAUAAAGUUGAGACAAAAUUGUGGUCAAAAAUUUGACAGCCACCGUAGUUGACUCCAAUUCAGUGUUAGCACUUACUGUCUCUUGUUAGCCCUGAUCUUUCUUCCUUUCUUUAUUUUCUUGCCUUGUCUCUAAUUUAAACCUCCAAAGGGUGUCUACCACUAGACAGUUAUAAUCUCCUUGAGGCCUCUAAACAAUUUCAUAAACCAAAUCCUAAAUGGAAAUUAGAAACAGGCAGGAGAGUGAAGUGUCUGUUGCCAUAAAGGGCUGAGGAGGAUAAAUAGCCAAUCCAAGGCAUCCUGAGUGCAUGCUCCAAGAUAAUCUCUAUAUUUCUCUGGACACAGCAUUGUGAACAUCCUCAAGAUCAGCUGAUUACUGAGAUGAAUUAGCAAAUAAGAGCCCAUUACAUCAGGUGUUGAGGAGGACUUUAAUUGUGCUCAGGCUCCAAAUGGGAAACUUUAUACUGUGUCACAGCUGCUAAAACAGCAGAGCCUUAUGGAAACAGUCUUGGAUUACUGGCCCCAUGGAGUGAAACAUUUUGAAUGGAAGGGAUUAUGCUUAUUAUUUCUCAGUGCAUUGUGUUUUCUUAGAUAUUUUUACUGUCAUUAUUAUUAUUUACCAAGUUAAUUGAUACAUACACAUGCUUAAUGAUGUUUCCAUGUAUAUUUAAUACUUUCUUCCACUGUUGUAAUUUGAAUGUGGUCGUAGGGAAAAUAACAUGAGAUACAUGAAAUAGUUGCCCUUUGUUAAGAUUAAAAUCCUGAGAAACUUGGUGAGUUUGCUUAUCAUCCACUUGCCAAGUGUCCUCCUGCCUUUUACCUGAAGAAAUCAGAUCCUUUGCCAGGUAGAGUUUAAAUGGUAUUUUGUGAGAAGAUGAUCACCAUAGAGACACUGCCCUCAGUCUCAGUAUAGACCAUUUGUGUUCAGAACAAAUUUCAUCUUUUAUCAG